rnacentral:rRNA from 1 species
UGAGUAAUGUCUGGGAAACUGCCCGAUGGAGGGGGAUAACUACUGGAAACGGUAGCUAAUACCGCAUAACGUCGCAAGACCAAAGAGGGGGACCUUCGGGCCUCUUGCCAUCGGAUGUGCCCAGAUGGGAUUAGCUAGUAGGUGGGGUAACGGCUCACCUAGGCGACGAUCCCUAGCUGGUCUGAGAGGAUGACCAGCCACACUGGAACUGAGACACGGUCCAGACUCCUACGGGAGGCAGCAGUGGGGAAUAUUGCACAAUGGGCGCAAGCCUGAUGCAGCCAUGCCGCGUGUAUGAAGAAGGCCUUCGGGUUGUAAAG